AAUAUUGGAUAACGGCCGAUACCCGGUUCCAGCAAUGCCGCGCGCGUGAUGAAGGCCUUAGGGUCGUAAACAUCCUUCACCGGGCAAGAUAUUGACGGUAACCGGGGAAGAAACCCCGGCUAACUUCGUGCCGUCAGCCGCGGUAAUACGAAGGGGUCUAGCGUUGUUCGGAAUUACUGGGCGUAAAGCGCACGUAGGCGGAUUAUUAAGUCAGGGGUGAAAUCCCGCAGCUCAACUGCGGAACUGCCUUUGAUACUGGUAAUCUAGAGACCGAGAGAGGUAAGUGGAACUCCUAGUGUAGAGGUGGAAUUCGUAGAUAUUAGGAAGAACACCAGUGGCGAAGGCGGCUUACUGGCUCGGAACUGACGCUGAGGUGCGAAAGCGUGGGGAGCAAAC
rnacentral:rRNA from 1 species